UCAAACUUGGUCAUUUAGAGGAAGUAAAAGUCGUAACAAGGUAACCGUAGGUGAACCUGCGGUUGGAUCAUUACUGAUUACGAGAUUGACUGCAUCGUCAAUCGUCCACACCAUGUGAACUGUAAUUGUAUUUGGCAAGUGAUGCAGUGCAAUUUUGUCUGCAGAGUUUCCCCCCCCCUAGCAGCUAGUGCUAGGCUAUGGGAAAGCUUGCCGCUGUUUUUUUUAGACCAUCAGUAUUUGUUCGUCUGACGUAAAUACAACAAUGUAAUCAUGAAACAACUUUUGGCAACGGAUUUCUUGGCUCUCGCAUCGAUGAAGAACGCAGC
rnacentral:misc_RNA from 1 species